UGAACACAAAGCAACGAAAGCCCUACCUCUCUCUCGUCCUUGCGGCUCCGAUGACCGCGCCAGCUUGAAUUGAGCUAACAAAAAUCAA
rfam:Bacillus cibi strain DSM 16189 Contig01, whole genome shotgun sequence.